rnacentral:rRNA from 1 species
ACGCUAGCGGCAGGCCUAAUACAUGCAAGUCGAACGGGAUUUGGGAGCUUGCUCCUGAUGAGAGUGGCGCACGGGUGCGUAACACGUAUGUAACCUACCUUGAUCUGGGGGAUAGCCUCUCGAAAGAGAGAUUAACACCGCAUAACAUUAUCGGAUAGCAUUUUCUGAUAAUCAAAUAUUUAUAGGAUCAAGAUGGGCAUGCGGAACAUUAGCUAGUUGGUAAGGUAAUGGCUUACCAAGGCUACGAUGUUUAGGGGAUCUGAGAGGAUGACCCCCCACACUGGUACUGAGACACGGACCAGACUCCUACGGGAGGCAGCAGUAAGGAAUAUUGGUCAAUGGGCGCAAGCCUGAACCAGCCAUGCCGCGUGCAGGAAGACGGCCCUACGGGUUGUAAACUGCUUUUGUACCGGAAUAAACCCUGAUAUGUAUAUCAGGCUGGAUGUACGGUAAGAAUAAGGAUCGGCUAACUCCGUGCCAGCAGCCGCGGUAAUACGGAGGAUCCAAGCGUUAUCCGGAUUUAUUGGGUUUAAAGGGUGCGUAGGCGGCCUAUUAAGUCAGGGGGUGAAAGACGGUAGCUUAACUAUCGCAGUGCCUUUGAUACUGAUAGGCUUGAAUACACUUGAGGUAGGCGGAAUGUGACAAGUAGCGGUGAAAUGCAUAGAUAUGUCACAGAACACCAAUUGCGAAGGCAGCUUACUAAAGUGAGAUUGACGCUGAGGCACGAAAGCGUGGGGAUCAAAC